rnacentral:tRNA from 1 species
UCCCUGGUGGCUCAGUGGCAAAGAAUCUGCCUGCAAUGCAGGAGACGCAGGUUCAAUCUCUGGUUUGGGAA